CGUAUCACUUAAAGCGAUUCAGCGGGUUACGAUUGACGGAGCGAAGCGACGUCAAAGCGUAUACAAAGUCGAGUCGGUUUAAGGAUACGUUCGUUGGGUAGGGGAGCGUUCUGUAAGCCUGUGAAGGUGGCCUGUGAGGGUUGCUGGAGGUAUCAGAAGUGCGAAUGCUGACAUAAGUAACGAUAAAGCGGGUGAAAAGCCCGCUCGCCGGAAGACCAAGGGUUCCUGUCCAACGUUAAUCGGGGCAGGGUGAGUCGACCCCUAAGGCGAGGCCGAAAGGCGUAGUCGAUGGGAAACGGGUUAAUAUUCCCGUACUUGGUGUUACUGCGAAGGGGGGACGGAGAAGGCUAUGUUGGCCGGGCGACGGUUGUCCCGGUUUAAGCGUGUAGGUGUGUGUUCCAGGUAAAUCCGGUUCACUUUAACACUGAGGCGUGAUGACGAGGCACUACGGUGCUGAAGCAACAAAUGCCCUGCUUCCAGGAAAAGCCUCUAAGCAUCAGGUAACAUCAAAUCGUACCCCAAACCGACACAGGUGGUCAGGUAGAGAAUACCAAGGCGCUUGAGAGAACUCGGGUGAAGGAACUAGGCAAAAUGGUGCCGUAACUUCGGGAGAAGGCACGCUGACACGUAGGUGAAGUGAUUUACUCA
rnacentral:rRNA from 1 species